rnacentral:rRNA from 1 species
UGGCUACGAGGGCGAACCGGGGGACUGAACAUCUAAGUACCCCGAGGAAAAGAAAUCAACCGAGAUUCCCCCAGUAGCGGCGAGCGAACGGGGAACAGCCCAGAGCCUGAAUCAGCUUGUGUGUCAGUGGAACGGUCUGGAAAGGCCGGCGAUACAGGGUGACAGCCCCGUACACGAAGGCACACAGGCUGUGAGCUCGAUGAGUAGGGCGGGACACGUGAUAUCCUGUCUGAAGAUGGGGGGACCAUCCUCCAAGGCUAAAUACUCCUGACUGACCGAUAGUGAACCAGUACCGUGAGGGAAAGGCGAAAAAACUUUGUUGAUUUUGUCUACAACGUGUGUAUGGAUGAGGUGGGUAGGGAAUCUGAGAUAAAAGGAAUUGCCCCUCAAUGACAAUCUCUAAGACAAGUGUCCGUUAUUAAGUUUAAGAGAAUAAUUUYUGACCAUUUCAUAGAAUAUGUUGAAGAUYGCAACUUACGCUCUUAAAGACUGUUGUUGGUUUUACAUUUCAUAAACCAGACAUAUUCCCAUUUUCACUAUUAAUACACACUGCUUACAUUCCCACUAGUUCGAGAUAAUGAGGGGGGCUAAAAGUGUUUAAAUGAUGGGACAGAGUCAGCGGUUGGAUGAUUUGACUAUAUAUGCGAUUUUAAAGCAACUGCCUACAUGCCACAUUCAGAAAAUAUAGUGCAGCUCCAUAUAGUGCUGACCCCGCUACCAUUAACUCUUUCUCAAGAGGCAGAAAAGCUUUARGUUGUCCAAGGUGUUAAUCUUUCCCGCUGAGGGGAGCAACCUCUUAGGGUCUUUUUAGUCCCGGCCACACCCGACAGAUAGCAUGGUGGAAAAAUAUUUUUGGCUACGUGGGGAGAAUAAUUCAAACAUCCCAGCUAAAAGGUKGGAAACAUCAAUAGCUAGGGAUCUGUGACACCAUGGCAUUUGGUUUUCCUAGUUCRUGAUAACAACUUCAUGUGGCCACCGGCUGGUU